UCCCUGAUAGCUCAGUUGGUAAGGAAUCCACCUGCAAUGUGAGAGACCUGGGUUCGAUCCCUGGUUUGGGAA
rfam:Ovis aries breed Texel chromosome 9, whole genome shotgun sequence.